rnacentral:tRNA from 1 species
GGAGAGAUGGCCGAGUGGCUUAAGGCGCAUGCUUGGAAAGCAUGUGGGCCCGUAAGGGCCUCGGGGGUUCGAAUCCCCCUUUCUCCGCCA